CCUACGUGAUGCAGCAGUGAGGAAUAUUGGUCAAUGUGCGCGAGCCUGAACCAGCCAAGUCGCGUGCGGGAAGCCGGUCCUAUGUAUUGUAAACCUCUUUUGUCGGGGAGCAAAACACGCCACGCGUGGCGUGCCGAGAGUACCCGAAGAAAAAGCAUCGGCUAACUCCGUGCCAGCAGCCGCGGUAAUACGGAGGAUGCGAGCGUUAUCCGUAUUUAUUGGGUUUAACGGGUGCGCAGGCGGAAGAUCAAGUCAGCGGUAAAAGUGAGAGGCUCAACCUCUUCCAGCCGUUGAAACUGGUUGUCUUGAGUUAGCGAGAAGUAUGCGGAAUGCGUGGUGUAGCGGUGAAAUGCAUAGAUAUCACGCAGAACUCCGAUUGCGAAGGCAGCAUACCGGCGCUCAACUGACGCUGAUGCACGAAAGUGUGGGUAUCGAACAGGAUUAGAUACCCCAGUAGUC
rnacentral:rRNA from 1 species